AUUGAACGCUGGCGGCAUGCUUUACACAUGCAAGUCGAACGGUAACAGGCCGCAAGGUGCUGACGAGUGGCGAACGGGUGAGUAAUGCAUCGGACGUGCCCAGUCGUGGGGGAUAACUACUCGAAAGAGUAGCUAAUACCGCAUACGAUCUAUGGAUGAAAGCGGGGGACCGUAAGGCCUCGCGCGAUUGGAGCGGCCGAUGUCAGAUUAGGUAGUUGGUGGGGUAAAGGCUCACCAAGCCAACGAUCUGUAGCUGGUCUGAGAGGACGACCAGCCACACUGGGACUGAGACACGGCCCAGACUCCUACGGGAGGCAGCAGUGGGGAAUUUUGGACAAUGGGCGCAAGCCUGAUCCAGCAAUGCCGCGUGCAGGAAGAAGGCCUUCGGGUUGUAAACUGCUUUUGUACGGAACGAAACGGCUCUGGUUAAUACCCGGGGCUAAUGACGGUACCGUAAGAAUAAGCACCGGCUAACUACGUG
rnacentral:rRNA from 1 species